UACAGAGGGUGCAAGCGUUAAUCGGAAUUACUGGGCGUAAAGCGCGCGUAGGUGGUUUGUUAAGUUGGAUGUGAAAUCCCCGGGCUCAACCUGGGAACUGCAUCCAAAACUGGCAAGCUAGAGUAUGGUAGAGGGUGGUGGAAUUUCCUGUGUAGCGGUGAAAUGCGUAGAUAUAGGAAGGAACACCAGUGGCGAAGGCGACCACCUGGACUGAUACUGACGCUCAUGUGCGAAAGCGUGGGGAGCAAACAGG
rnacentral:rRNA from 1 species